rnacentral:rRNA from 1 species
UACGUAGGGGGCAAGCGUUGUCCGGAUUUAUUGGGCGUAAAACGCGUGUAGGCGGCCAGAAAAGUCCGCUGUGAAAACUCGAGGCUCAACCUCGAGCUGUCGGUGGAAACUUUCUGGCUAGAGUCCGGAAGAGGAGAAUGGAAUUCCUGGUGUAGCGGUGAAAUGCGCAGAUAUCAGGAAGAACACCCGUGGCGAAGGCGGUUCUCUGGGACGGUACUGACGCUGAGACGCGAAAGCGUGGGGAGCGAACAGG